rnacentral:rRNA from 1 species
GGAAGGGGUGUAUUUAUUAGAUUAAAAACCAAUGCCCUUCGGGGCUCACUGGUGAUUCAUGAUAACUCCUCGAAUCGCAUGGCCUUGUGCCGGCGAUGGUUCAUUCAAAUUUCUUCCCUAUCAACUUUCGAUGUUUGGGUAUUGGCCAAACAUGGUUGCAACGGGUAACGGAGGGUUAGGGCUCGACCCCGGAGAAGGAGCCUGAGAAACGGCUACUACAUCCAAGGAAGGCAGCAGGCGCGCAAAUUACCCAAUCCCGACACGGGGAGGUAGUGACAAUAAAUACUGAUACAGGGCUCUUUUGGGUCUUGUAAUUGGAAUGAGUACAAUUUAAAUCCCUUAACGAGGAACAAUUGGAGGGCAAGUCUGGUGCCAGCAGCCGCGGUAAUUCCAGCUCCAAUAGCGUAUAUUAAAGUUGUUGUGGUUAAAAAGCUCGUAGUUGAACCUUGGGCCUGGCCGUCCGGUCCGCCUCACCGCGUGUACUGGCUCGGCCGGGCCUUUCCCUCUGUGGAACCCCAUGCCCUUCACUGGGCGUGGCGGGGAACCAGGACUUUUAC